GACGAACGCUGGCGGCGUGCUUAACACAUGCAAGUCGAACGGAAAGGCCCUGCUUUUGUGGGGUUCUCGAGUGGCGAACGGGGGAGUAACACGUGUGUAACCUGCCCUUGACUUUGGGAUAACUUCUGGAAACUGGGGCUAAUACCGGAUAGGAGCUCCUGCUGCAUGGUGGGGGUUGGAAAGUUUCGGCGGUUGGGGAUGGACUCGCGGCUUAUCAGCUUGUUGGUGGGGUAGUGGCUUACCAAGACUUUGACGGCUAGCCGGCCUGGGAGGGUGGCCGGCGACAUGGGUACUGAGAGACGGAGCAGACUCCAACGGGACGCAACAGUGGAGAGUCUGGCGCAAUGGGGGGGAGCGUGAGACAGAAGCGUUGCGUGCGGGAUGACGGCUUUCGGGUUGUAAACCGAUUUCGCCUGAGACGAAGCGUGAGUGACGGUAACGGGUAAAGAAGCACCGGCUAACUACGUG
rnacentral:rRNA from 1 species